rfam:Mesocricetus auratus contig094558, whole genome shotgun sequence.
GGAUGGCUCAGUGGUUAAGAGUACUGGUUGCUCUUCCAGAGGACCUGGGUUUGAUUCCCAGCACCCA